CCUACGGGGGGCAGCAGUGGGGAAUAUUGCGCAAUGGGCGAAAGCCUGACGCAGCGACGCCGCGUGAGGGAUGAAGGUCUUCGGAUCGUAAACCUCUGUCAGCAGGGAAGAACGGUCACUGUGCUAAUCAGCAUUGAAUUUACGGUACCUCCAAAGAAAGCACCGGCUAACUCCGUGCCCGCAGCCACGGUAAUACGGAGGUUGCGAGCGUUAAUCGGAAUUACUUGGCGUAAAGGGCUCGUAGGUGGUAUGUCAAGUCAAGGGGGAAAUCCCCGCGCUCAAAGUGGGAACUUCCUUUUAAAACGGGCAACUGGAGUGGGUGAAGGGAUAGUCGAAUGCCAGGUGUAGGAGUGAAAACCGUAGAAAAC
rnacentral:rRNA from 1 species